AUUGAACGCUGGCGGCAUGCCUUACACAUGCAAGUCGAACGGCAGCACGGGUGCUUGCACCUGGUGGCGAGUGGCGAACGGGUGAGUAAUACAUCGGAACAUGUCCUGUAGUGGGGGAUAGCCCGGCGAAAGCCGGAUUAAUACCGCAUACGAUCCACGGAUGAAAGCGGGGGACUUUCGGCCCUCCCCCUUUAGGGUUGGCCGAUGGCUGAUUAGCUAGUUGGUGGGGUAAAGGCCUACCAAGGCGACGAUCAGUAGCUGGUCUGAGAGGACGACCAGCCACACUGGGACUGAGACACGGCCCAGACUCCUACGGGAGGCAGCAGUGGGGAAUUUUGGACAAUGGGCGAAAGCCUGAUCCAGCAAUGCCGCGUGUGUGAAGAAGGCCUUCGGGUUGUAAAGCACUUUUGUCCGGAAAGAAAUCCUUGACUCUAAUACAGACGGGGGAUGACGGUACCGGAAGAAUAAGCACCGGCUAACUACGUG
rnacentral:rRNA from 1 species